CACAUACUUCCUCCGUUCCAAAUUACUUGUCGUAGAAAUGAAUGUAUCUAAAACUAAAAAAUGUCUAGAUACAUUCAUUUCUACGACAAGUAAUUCCGAACGGAGGGAGUACAUG
rnacentral:pre_miRNA from 1 species